GAUGAACGCUGGCGGCGUGCCUAAUACAUGCAAGUCGAGCGAACAGAUGAGGAGCUUGCUCCUCUGACGUUAGCGGCGGACGGGUGAGUAACACGUGGAUAACCUACCUAUAAGACUGGGAUAACUACGGGAAACCGGAGCUAAUACCGGAUAAUAUAUUGAACCGCAUGGUUCAAUAGUGAAAGACGGUUUUGCUGUCACUUAUAGAUGGAUCCGCGCCGCAUUAGCUAGUUGGUAAGGUAAUGGCUUACCAAGGCAACGAUGCGUAGCCGACCUGAGAGGGUGAUCGGCCACACUGGAACUGAGACACGGUCCAGACUCCUACGGGAGGCAGCAGUAGGGAAUCUUCCGCAAUGGGCGAAAGCCUGACGGAGCAACGCCGCGUGAGUGAUGAAGGUCUUCGGAUCGUAAAACUCUGUUAUUAGGGAAGAACAAAUGUGUAAGUAACUAUGCACGUCUUGACGGUACCUAAUCAGAAAGCCACGGCUAACUACGUG
rnacentral:rRNA from 1 species